rnacentral:misc_RNA from 1 species
CGCAUAUUGCGCCCUCUGGUAUUCCGGGGGGCACGCCUGUUCGAGCGUCAUUGAAUCAAUCAAGCCCCGCUUGGUAUUGGCGGUCUCCCGCGAGGGAGCCUCCGAAAAACAGCGGCGCGGUCGUCGGGAGAGGAAUGCACUGGGAUCUCACGAUCGCCAUUCUCGCCUCUCGCGGUCGCCGCCGGAAGCGCACCGUCCUCGGUGUACUUUUCAAAUGUAAAAUUGACCUCGGAUCAGGUGGGAUUACCCGCUGAACUUAA